rnacentral:lncRNA from 1 species
CUGGCCGACGGUAGACGGACCACUGGGUCUUACAGAGCAGGAAUCCGUCGAUCAGGCGCGUAGAUUCUUCAAGUUUGGAUUUUUACUACUCCCUUGGCUUUGGGCUGUCAAUUGCUUAUACUUUUGGCCUGUCCUUCGUCGUCCUACCUCCUAUUAUCACCCAGAUCUCCGUCAAUGUAAGUUUGGUAAAAAAAAAAAACUAUAUAUAAUUGAGAUCCACUACAUAAUUGCUUUUUUUCAGCAGCUUUGGUUCGUGAAUUAUGCUUGCCCUAUUUCGAAUAGAAUUGAAGGGGUUUCGAGUAUAAGGGCGAACUCAUCUAAUUUUGUGAAGUAGGACAUGAAUUCUUAAAUGUUCUUCUAACAGAAUUUACUUCAUUCAAAGAAUACUUGUAAUGUACAUUAUGGGUGUGUCCGGUAGGAAGGGAAUACAUUUUCCAAGAGAAACAAGGAGUUACUUAUUUUCUUGUGUCCCGUAUGCAAGUGAAAAAUGUUAUCCUAAAAACAUUUGGAUAUAUUUAAGACAAACUUUUGUGGAUGAGUUGGGGUUGGGAAGGGAGGGGGGGCUGAUAAUGUGUUCAUGAUUGUGCAAUAACUGAGUAGGCCGACAAAAGAUUUAAAAUAUUAUUUUUUAGUGGGUUAAGAAGUUUAAAUCACAAAUAUGUAAGUAAAUUAUCAACUUAGACAUAAUACAUGAUAAUGGAAUCAUUUUACCUUAAUUUAUCUUUUAAAAGCAUUUAAAAUUCUGACAAAAAUUAAUGAAAAUAUUGAGCCAAGAAGUGUAGGCAGAUCGGAGUACAACUUUUCCGAGCAGAAUAUGGAGGCGGCUCCCUCCAAUCCCACCCCCCCUUCCGCCGCGAGCAACCGGAAUCCCCUAAGAGUUGACUGGCCGACGGUAGACGGACCACUGGGUCUUACAGAGCAGGAAUCCGUCGAUCAGGCGCGUAGAUUCUUCAAGUUUGGAUUUUUACUACUCCCUUGGCUUUGGGCUGUCAAUUGCUUAUACUUUUGGCCUGUCCUUCGUCGUCCUACCUCCUAUUAUCACCCAGAUCUCCGUCAAUGUAAGUUUGGUAAAAAAAAAAAACUAUAUAUAAUUGAGAUCCACUACAUAAUUGCUUUUUUUCAGCAGCUUUGGUUCGUGAAUUAUGCUUGCCCUAUUUCGAAUAGAAUUGAAGGGGUUUCGAGUAUAAGGGCGAACUCAUCUAAUUUUGUGAAGUAGGACAUGAAUUCUUAAAUGUUCUUCUAACAGAAUUUACUUCAUUCAAAGAAUACUUGUAAUGUACAUUAUGGGUGUGUCCGGUAGGAAGGGAAUACAUUUUCCAAGAGAAACAAGGAGUUACUUAUUUUCUUGUGUCCCGUAUGCAAGUGAAAAAUGUUAUCCUAAAAACAUUUGGAUAUAUUUAAGACAAACUUUUGUGGAUGGG